UCUCCACUUUCCACGUUUUUUUGUUUUUUUUAUAUGUUUUUUUCUAUCUUUAUGUCUAUCCUCUUCUCAUACGAGCCUCAAGGUGUCCUAUAUAUAACAUACUUCCUCGUGCAGCUUUUGUGUUACUUGAAUUUUGGAAACUUGAUCUGCUUUUGCUUUGUUAUUUCAUUAUCAGUACCCCUUUGGGUCGUAUACUGGUUACCUGAACUGUCUUUUUGCUCAUCUUUGAAGAACUAUUUUAAAGUUCCCUUUUUUUUUUAUACUUCUGUCUUUUCAUUCAUUUUAUAAAUCUCUCCAUUCUUUCUUCAAAGUAAAAUUCUGGGUUUGUUUUUUUGUUUUCAAUUGGGGACACAGAAAUUAAAGAACUGAUUGGGAUUUCCAUUUUGUGUUGCUGGGUCUCUUAGAUUUGAAGCUUUUUGGUUGGUGGAUCCCAAAUUCAUGAAUGCCCCCUUUUCUUCGACCAAUAAGUUUUGUUGCUGAACAAAUUAGCCCUGUCUGGCUAAGGUUUUUGAGUCUGUAGUGCUAGAUAAUUGAUCUUUGUGUAUUAUUUUAACUUAAGGAUCUUCAGUUUUCCCUUUUUAUCAUUGGUGGCUUUCUCACAAAUCUAGUCUCCGAAGUUAGUGAUUUCAAAGAGGUGCGCUGUGUUAACUUUCCUGUUUGUUUCAUAUUCAAGUUCAAUUCUGGUUGUGGGUUUAUCUUUUACUGGAAGACAAACUUUGAGGUAGAUUCCUCGUAGGUGCUCUCAAGUUCAUUUGAAAAGAAUGAGUCAGCCUAAGAUCAAGCGCAGAGUUGGUAAAUACGAGGUGGGGAGGACAAUUGGUGAAGGUACAUUUGCAAAGGUGAAAUUUGCAAGGAACUCUGAGACAGGAGAACCUGUGGCUCUUAAAAUUCUUGACAAGGAGAAGGUGCUCAAGCACAAGAUGGCUGAGCAGAUCAGGAGAGAGGUGGCUACAAUGAAAUUAAUCAAGCAUCCAAAUGUUGUUCGAUUGUAUGAGGUCUCUCUUUCUCUCUCUGUGGACCACACAUGCUAUGAUUUGCCAUUCUCUUUUUUAAAUAAAUUUUUUCUUUAUUUUAUUCUUGCCUGAAGUUUCUGUUUUUAGAAGCAGCGUGUGGUAGUGGUUGAGUAUAGAACGUUCUUGUUUGUUUCACUAAGAAUUCUGCCUGCUGCCUACCAUUCCAGAAAUUCUUUAUAAAGUAUCCCGGUGAAUAGUUAAAGUCAUUGGAUGUUU